rnacentral:rRNA from 1 species
UACAGAGGUCCCAAGCGUUGUUCGGAUUCACUGGGCGUAAAGGGUGCGCAGGUGGUCGGGUAAGUCUGAUGUGAAAUCCCGCAGCUCAACUGCGGAAUGGCAUUGGAUACUAUUUGGCUAGAGGGUUGGAGGGGGGACUGGAAUUCUCGGUGUAGCAGUGAAAUGCGUAGAUAUCGAGAGGAACACCAGUGGCGAAGGCGAGUCCCUGGACAACUCCUGACGCUGAGGCACGAAAGCUAGGGGAGCGAACAGG